GGGAACUACAACGUUCCUUUCCCGAUACUCUGCGCCCCCAUCAUCCGCCAACUCCGUUGCUCUCCAAUGGCCGAGCACCGACCUUGUUGACAGAAAAGAGAAGGUGGCUACUACUGUUGAUGGAGGGCAUGGUUUCCAUGUGAUGAUGAACUCCAUGGAAAUUCAUGAUUCUUAGAUAGAUCACAGGGGGUAAAAACCGUAUUGCCAAAUGGAGAGAUGGCAAUAUCAUCACGUGAAUGAUGCUCUAUCUAUGGAGUGAAAGAGGGUCGAAUCUUAUACACUAAAGGCGAAAUUCUCUCGUCCUAAGAGUUCCCCACCUCGGACUGAAAGGAUAGUGAAAGAAUAAAUCAUGGUGAUUCAAUUUCUUUUUAAGUGGGAGGAAUCGUACCUGGUGCUUAUAAGGAGCCUACCAUAUUAAGUGUAAUUUCUACAUUGUGACAAUUAGAGUUUGAUUCUGUCUUCAAUCAUUGUUGUGUGGACCAUAACAAAGACGGUUCACAAUCUAGUACUUGAGGAUUAUGAUUUAGGUUUCUUAAUCAUGAUAUACUAACCGGGCCUUUGAUUCUAAGAAAUAUAAAUAUAAUAUAAUGGCCUUAGUAUGGGCUGUGGA